CAAAAGAAAUUAAAUCUCCUCCAAAAUAUUCUCUCUCUAGAAAGCUUGAAUAAGAAGAAAAUGAUUCAACAUAGGGUUUCAAGCUAAGAUCUCAAUUACUCCAUUGAAAAUAAGCAAUUGGACUUGAGGUAUGGUCGCUUUCAUCCAUGAAAUCUCUUACAUUCAUGAAGUCCUCAAAUUCCUCUAUUCCAAAAGGGUUCGAUAGACAGGGUUCCCAUUUUAGUGGCAAGAUCUUGGACUUUGAUUCUUUCACGACUCAAAAACACUCACGAUGACACUUGGAAAUUUCAACCAAUACAAGUGAGAAUCAAUCCAAAACCUACCGUUGCAAUCCAUAAGGACCACUGAUGGUCCUUAGGUUUAUCCACGUACCGUAGGAAGGGUUCGUGAUUGGCCAUACAAAAAGUUGUCCAGGCUUAGGACCACGACUAGACCUACGGACCGUAGGGGUCCUCAAUCCGUGGUUCUGACCCCCAAAGAUCAGUUCCCAGACCACCUAAUCACGAAUGUGCUGGACAGACCGUAGGUCCAUCCGCGAUCCGUGAUAGUGUGUCGUGUGGGUCACUGUUUGACAGUUAUUUUCAGGGGCAGUUAGAUCUUUUCCUAAUUAAUUAAUUAAUUCCUAUACCAUAUCAUUUUGCCUAUAUUUAGAACCCCUAUAUAAGCCUUUUUACUUUAAAUUCACCAUAUUCAAUUCAUUCUUCCAACUUUAACUAAAGAAAUCAAAUCUCCUCCGAAAUAUUCUCUCUCUAGAAAGCUUGAAGAAGAAGAAAAUGAUUCAACAUAGGGUUUCAAUCUAAGAUAUCAAUUACUCCAUUGAAGAGAAGCAAUUGGACUUGUGGUAUGGUAGGUUUCAUCCAUGAAAUCUCAUACCUUCAUGGAGUCCCCAAAUCCCUCCAUUCCUAAAGGGUCCGAUAGACAGGAUUCCCAUUUUAGUGGCAAGAUCUUGGACUUUGAUUCUUUCCCGAGCUUGAUAAGUCUACUUGAAGGGCUUACUCUAAAAAGAAUGUGAAGAAGAAUUUGGAACAUGAAGCUCCUCCUCAUUCUUCGGUCGAUCCCUUGGCCGAACAAGUUACAAAUGAGGAGUUUAGAUUGAAUUUUUAAGUGUUGGCUCGAGCCGUGACGGCCCAAGCCAAUAGAGAGGUGGUAGUUCCUUUGAAGGAAGAACUUCUUACACUAGUAAAGUGUUUGAUGAAAUAUCCAAAAUAAUUAAGUAAUUUUCUGUUUUAAAUGUUAAGAUGAUAUUACUUUUGGAUAACUAAUCUUGCACAUGAUUUAUGCACCUAUGUACAUGUUUAAAAUAAUGUACACAAGCCUUAUCAGGAAUAUAUCAUCAAUUAUAUAGUUUA